ACUACGUGUGGCAGCAGUGGGGAAUAUUGCACAAUGGGGGAAACCCUGAUGCAGCGACGCCGCGUGAAGGAAGAAGUAUUUCGGUAUGUAAACUUCUAUCAGCAGGGAAGAAAAUGACGGUACCUGACUAAGAAGCCCCGGCUAACUACGUGCCAGCAGCCGCGGUAAUACGUAGGGGGCAAGCGUUAUCCGGAUUUACUGGGUGUAAAGGGAGCGUAGGCGGUUUAGCAAGUCAGAAGUGAGAGCCCGGGGCCCAACUCCGGGACUGCUUUGGAAACUGUUGAACUAGAGUGCAGGAGAGGUAAGGGGAAUUCCUAGUGUAGCGGUGAAAUGCGUAGAUAUUAGGAGGAACACCAGUGGCGAAGGCGGCUUACUGGACUGUAAAUGACGCUGAGGCUCGAAAGCGUGGGGAGCAAACAGGAUUAGAUACCCUAGUAGUC
rnacentral:rRNA from 1 species